UGUGUGUGUCUUCGUGUGCUCGAGGACCCCUUGCUAUUUCUGGCGUCUGACUUCUUAGCAGCAGCCAGUUCCUGCUCUGUCUUCUCCUCUGGGGCCUCCCGUCCCCUGCUUAGCAUCUCCUCUGUGUCCUGCAGACUCUGACGGCCUCCGGGGAUCAGGGCAUCCUUGCCCGCAACGCACUGCAGCCCCAGCUUUCCAGACACCAGUGUGGUUUCCACGCUCUUCCACCUCCACUGCUCCACUAGGCCAGGAAUUUUCAAACCAAAUAAUUCCAAAGACUUUAAACACUCCUUUCUUUCCCUUCUCUCUCUCCCUUUACAGUUUGUGUUAAGUAUAAAGCAGAGCCCAGGUGGCAAUUCAGCACCGACCUGGUCUCUUCAGCUGCAUCACAGGUCCAUUAGACACAUUUCCCACAUCGCAAAGGUCACCCAUCUUCAGCCUCUCAAAGUUCCUCUGAUUCCCUGAUGGCUUCCUCCAAGGCCACUGGGUGGCCACAGCCAGCCUUCUCUGACCUGUUCGGAAUCCCCCGUGCUGCCCUUGAGUAGCACUUCUCCUUUCUCCUGCUGCCUGGCUCCACAUUUCUUGAGUGUUUUCAGGUUUUAUUUGGGCAGUGGCAAUCAUCCAGACCUCACUGCUGCAGCCCCUUCGUGUCCUACACAGUCAGAAGCAUUUUCAGUCACAGGUCCUGUGAGCAUGCAUUUUCUGUGGCUGCUGUGACACAAACGUGGUGGCAUAAGGCCACUCAGAAGGUGACCUUGCUCUGUGCUCAGGAGCCUGAUGGCCCCUGGGCUGUGCUCAGUACUGAGCUGCAUUCCUUCUUGGGCUCCAGGGCCAUGUCCUGGGCAGUUCUCUGCCACUGUCCCUGGACCUGUCCUCAUCCUCAAGCCCCAAGCCCUCAUGUGCACCCUGCUCCUGGCCCAGGUAAGAAUCUUUGGAAUCGCUCGGGCCACCUGGCUGUCCAGGGUCCUCAGCAGACCAGCAGUCUGAGUCUCAGCUCUGGGAUAACAACUGGGACGUGUUGGAGAGGAGCCACCAGUGCCCACCACCGUAGGGCACCAGGGGUGAGCAGGGCCUGCUCCUGCAGGACACACUGCCCGGAUGCUGCCUGCCCAGUGCCCCGGGGACAAGGCCAUGGGCCCCGCUCUGCCCUGUGGGCUCAGGCUAGGCUGACCAGUCCCACAGCUCCCCAGCAAGGGUCCUGUCCAGGGUACCCUGGCUUGGGGAGCCCCUGCGGGCCAGUCAGAGAAGACUUGACCUGUCCCUGCCCCACUGCCUGCGUGUGGCUCUCUCUGCCUCUCCUGCCGCCUGCCACCCUUCCUGUCCUGUGGAUGGCAGCUGCUCCCUCUGUCCGCGGCUCAGCUUGCCUUUCCCCGAGCCAAGCGCAGGGGAACAGGGCUGCACCGGACUUAGCUUGAUUUCCUAACGCCCAGGACCAUGUGGCCAAGUUGAGUUGAACAAGGACAGAGUUUGAAGACCAGAACUUGGAGGCAAGCCCUGCUCUUCCAAGGGCAGCUCCAGGACCAGCCGGGGAGUCUGGAAGUUUGUGCUGCAUCUGCACGGACACCUUUAAACAGGAAUACAGUGGCACGGGGAUGCUUCCUCAGCAGACUCCAUCAGCCACAGGAUUGCCCAGGCUUUCCAAUCCACCUUCCUCAGCCUCCCAGAGUGUUGGGAUUCCUUGUCAAUGUGCCUGGCCUCCACAAAACGUGUGUACGAGUGACACUGUCACGGGAGCAGUGCAGACGAGCACACCACGCAGAGGCAUAGAGAGGAGGCCACAGUCUGGUGGGACAGGAAGCCAACCACACAGCCCCAGCCUGGAAAUGAUGCCACCCAAAGUCUGUAGGGAACAGUGAGGAGAGCUGCUCUGACAUGACGCUGUGGCCCUGGGGGAGGCAGCAUCUUAGCUUGGUUUGGAGCGUGGAUCUGAGUCCGGGUAGAGGUUGGGGAAUAUUCCAGAGAGCAAAGAGAAAGCAGCUUGAAUCAAUCGCAGAGGAGGCAGCACAUGGGGGAAGCAGCAAGCUCUUCAGUUUUAGCUUGCAAGUCAUUUUGAGGAAGAGAAAUGUGAAAGAAUAUCUACAUGGAGGCAGGAAAAAAGUUACAGACAAAAGCCGAGUGCUUAUGCACCUGUAACUCCAGCUCUCAGGAGACUGAGGCAGGAGGAUUGCAAGUUCAGGCCAGAGUGGGCUACUCUGAGAUCCUGUUGCAAAACACAAAACAAGACAAAUCAACGUAAACAAAAACCAGAACAAGACAAAAGUUGAAGACAAGAUCACUUUGGAGGCUCAGUUUAAAGUGACUCUUGUUAAGAAAAUAAUGAAAGAAGAUGGUAUAAAGCAUUCUGCCAGGGUAAGGGUUGGGAACGGAAAUAAAGCUCUCACAUGGGCAGCACCUUGUAUUUGAAAUCGGUGUAAGGAUGAAGAAGACAAUGCUGAGCUGGCUCCCUGGCAGUUACUUACUUACUUUGCAGCCCUGGAGAUUGAACCCAGCGUGUUCACACUGAGCUCCAUCCCCAGCCUUUAAACUUUUUUAUUUUGAGGCAGAGUCUUGCUGAGUUGCCCAGGCUGGGCCUGAACGCUCGGUCCUUCUGCCUCGGCCUCCCAGAAUGCUGGGAUGACAAGCGUUCAGCACGUAUUCCACUUAUUUUUCAUUUUUAAAUGAUGCCCGUCACUGUUCUCAUAGUCACAUACAGCCUAGGUCUGCAACAGCAGGAGCUGAAAAGCGCUUGACCAUGCGACAGGUGGUGGGAGCGUCGGAGUGGGCAGAGCGGGCUGUGGGCGCUGGCCUCAGCCCGGCGUCUGAGCUCGGCCAGCAGCCGGAGAUGCUGUUCCCCGCGGUGCCCCUCCACGCAAGCCUCAGGCGCCCUGCACUCAGUGAGCGGCCACAGAAUACUGAGCGGAACAACGUGGCACAUUCUGAGCGCUCGGGGCACUUCAGUUUUAUCUGUGGAGAUUCACUUUCGGGGAAGCGCCCCGCGUCUCGAAGGCUGGCAGGAAGUGAGCCUGCAGCCGGGCUCUGACUCCCCGAGGGCGCAGGGAGGCCCAGCAGGCUCUGGGGACCCUUUGCCGCUUAGUGUCUUCCGCGCCUCUGCUCCCUGGCGUUGUGCAUCCUCCCACUCCAGCGCGGUGCCACUGCUCAGCUCCAGCCUCCCCUGGCCGGGCCACUCCGCGUCUCCUGGGGGCACAAGUGUCCUCCGCUCCAGCCUCCCCCAAGCCACCCCCUGUGUCCCCGCUGUGCUCCCGGCCGGCUGGCGGACACCUCCUGUUGGCCCAAGGGCGGGAAACAGGUUCCCCGUGUGCCGAGGCCCCGAGCCGGGACUCCUGAGCACCUGGAGCCUCCUCCUCCCUCUGGUCCGGCUCCCUCCUGAGGGGCGGCGGCGGGGUGUCUUAGGUAUUUCAGCUCCAAAGGCUUUGGUAGCUGGGGCUCUCCGGAGAGAGGAGAGCGCUGGAAAUGCAGACCCGGGAUCAAAACACCAGCAGUGACAGCCAGCCUGGGAGCGCGGAGGAAACCCAGCAAGUCUUCAGCGCAAAGCCCCACCUUGUUGCCCUGGGCGAAGACAGGAAAUCUGCGGUUGAAUGGAGGGCCGUGUGCCGUGGGGCUCCCGCCUUGGCCUCUUCCCUGAGCGGCUCGGGGGCAUGCGGCUUCAGGGCCCAGCACCCACCCGGCCCGGCCGGGCCCGGUGAGGCGCUCUGCCUCCUCUUCCCCAGCCGGCAAGCUCAGCCUAAAGAGCCAACGCCUGUCCGCCUGCAGUCCCAGGUGCUCUGGAAGCUGAUAGAAGGACUGCAUGCAGGUCUGAGAGAAACGUGGGCACUUAGUGAGCCCCGUGUGACACUGAAGACAAAACAAGGUUGACAUGUGCCCCCGUGUUCCGUACCCGGGACAUUAAAGGGGGUCUUAGGGAUCACAGAGGCUCUUAGUGCUUGGAUCUGAAAUGACCCCCGACGUCUUGAAUUUCGAGGUGCGGCAGGUCAGAGGGGUCGCGGCGCUGCCCUCCAGGCAUAGCCCAGCUGUCCCGCAGGCUGUGCAGACAGUGUCAGGCUGAGCAGGGAAGGGGGAGUGGACAUCGCCCCUGGGCUUCCCCUGCGUCCGUCCACCCAGCCCCACAUCGGAGACAACCAGCCUUCACCCCCUCGCAGGCGCAGGCACAGGCCCUGGGAGCAGCACCUGUGUCGGCUGCGCUUUCUCGGCUCCUUCUCUCAGCCCACCCAGUGCAGCGCUGUCAGCUUCCUCUGCCCCAGCUCGUGCCCCGCGGUGCCAGGGCAGCCGGGCCCGAUCCCCUCAUUGCCCGGCCCGUUCUGUGCGGGGCUCCCCGGGCCCUGCGUCCCCCGCCUGGGCCCCGGCCGGCCGCUGUGUCUCAGUCAGGGCGCAGACGGCACCAGAUGACGCAUCCCCAGCGUCAGCAAUCUUUGGUCCCCUCAGCACCUCGUCCUGGCAGACGACCGUCCUGGAACAGGAUCAGGUCAGAUUGUAUCUAGAGUCACCGCUGUGAAUCUGCUUCCUCGAGGCUGCGAGCCCAGGAAAGUGGGGAUCCUGCCCUCGCCUGUCCCCAGGGCCCCACAAGCCAUCUGUGUCACUGUCACUGAGCCCUGAAGGAGGGGCCACCGGGGCACUACCGCCAGGACCAGCCUGGGGAGGCGCGAGCAUGGGGCUCCCGGGCCACCUGGGUUCCCUCCGGAGGUGUCCAGGUCCAAGCCCCUCAGCAGCACCAUCAGACAUCCCCAUCUGAAAAGCUCUCAGCCCGGGAGAGAAGAAACUGACUUCUAGGAAUGCUGCUAAGAAGAGGAACAACACGCCCAGCCUCAAAAACAGGGGAAUGAAACAAAUACGGUCUUAGAAAGUUAUUAUUGUCUGCCGCGAUUUAGAUCCGGAGAGGUGGCCUGGGGAGAACCUGCUGUCCCGAGGAUGGGGUGACCAGAGACUUGGGGUGAGGAGGACAUGGGGGGGGGGUGCUGUGGGCCGGGAACUGGGCCCUGGGGCUCAGGGUGUGGCCUGGCAGCAUGGGUCUUCCCCAAGCAGACCCAGCUCUGGUGGGGCACUGGCCCACGUGCUGUCCUCCUGCUCCUGUAACAAGGCCUGACACCCGGCAGCCCAAAUGACAGAACUCACUGCCUCGUUCUGAUGGGUGGCGGCCCCAAGCCCCCGCUUCCUCCCAGGGAGGAGUCUGUGCUGGCCUCAGCUCUUCCAGGCAGCCUCGGGCCUGGGGACAAUUACUGCAGGCUCCGCACUGCCUGUGCGUCACACGGCCAGAGCUCCGACAGCAGUCAGGUGGGUGCGGCCCCACCCAGCUCCAGCAUGGCCUCAUCUUAAUGCAGGACCCCUGUGGCUCCCCGUUUCCAAGUUAGGCCACACCCCAGGUCGCUGCAGGUUAGGACUGCGGGACUUGUGGGCACAGCUGGUGAAGCGUGGCUCCCAUGUGUGCGUGGCUCACUGAGGCUCCAAGACAUCACCAGCCUAGUGACCCUGGCUGGGGUCUGUGCUGUGUCUCCCGCUCCACACUGAGAAGCUCUGUCCUCUCGUGGGAACGGCCGUGUUGGGUUUGGGGAGCCAUGCCCCAAAGACGGGGGGGAUGUGGACGGGUACUGUUUUUAAAACAGGGUCAGGAAAUAAAAAUGACUUGGAAGGGAGGAAACCAGGCUUCGAGGGGGUGCUGGUCUCUGGCGGGACUGUGGCCACCACGUCCAGGGCCUUCUGGCUCCCCUCUGUUGGCACGGGGAUCAAACCCAGGCCUCGAGUGUGCCAGGCCAAGUGCUUUCCGCAGGCUGCACCCCGGCACCCAGAUUUCUCCCAGUCCCCCACCCUGAGGGCCCCAGGAGUGGGAGAGCUGCAGACAGGAGGCAUUGCCAGAGCAGUGAGUGAUCCCGGGUCACGCACCAUGGGGGAAGGUGGCCUCUGCUCCCUGGAACACACAGCCACCUCCCAGAAUGGACUUCGAGGUGUCUUGUUGUAAAGCCUCGACCAUCGCUGCUGCAUUGCCCUGCAGCCUCCACAACACAGCCAGGCCUGUGCUGUCACCUGGAGCCGUCACCAUUGGCACCUGCACCUCACUGGCCACGUAGGUCGGGGGGCAGUGACUCCCCGGGGCGUCCAGCAGACGACAGAAGACUGCACAGUUGGAGCAGGAGGCACAGCCUGUCCCCAGGCCCUGCUCACAGAGGACACAGCAGAGGGGCCUUGGACCCUCCAAGGAGGGGCUGGGACAGGCGGCAUCCAGUGUCCAGAAGCUGAGAGAACAGGGCUGGGUGUGGGAAUGAGCCCUCGGGCGGCCAGAGGAGCAGCGGGGGUGCUGAGGAAGUGGUUCUGUUUUCACUCUGAGCUUGGCAUGGAGAGGGAGGAGGAGCAGGCCGCAGCUGCAGGACCCGGAGGACCAGCAGAGGUCUUCCUAAGGGGAGGCGUGCAGGCACAUCUGGAGCACAUCUGACCUCAGGCGCUCACUGUCCCCAGAUGCGUACCUGUCAGCUGCCAUUUGGCAGUGAGGGCUGUGUUCGUGGCACAGGCUGUCGGCUCUGCCUCGUCCUGGUGGAUGCACUGGCGUUGGGAAUCCAGGCAGGAUCGCGCAUCACCAGGCUGCUGCCCUGGAAGCCAGCGAGCACCCCAUCUCCUGCACCGAGGUCGGGCCACCCAGCCCCUCCGGCUCUCUCUGGAGUGGAGGCCACACCUGCAGCAGCCAGACCCUAAUCCUGAGCUCGGCUGUGGGGCAUCGAGGGAAACAGACCUGAGGCUUUGCAGUCUCUGGACAGACCUGGGGCAGCGCAACACCACACAGACCUCUGACCUCAAACAUGGCCCUGAACACAUGCACGCACUCACGUGCAUGCACACAAACGCACACGCUUGCUGUCACAAGCCUUUUCUGAGGUCUCAGACAGCACAGUGUGGAGCUUCUGCUCUCAUAAACAUUAAAAAUGGCAAGGCCUGAUGGAACCAUCUCAGCUUUCUCAGCUGAGAAGCAUCACCCUGCAAGUGUUUACAGAACUGUAAGAAAAACCCCAUGUUUAGAAAAGCCAUCUGCUUGGAGGAAGAGACAACGAGCCAGGAGUGGUGAGAAAAGGCAGGGCAGCCUGGGAGCAGUGGGCCAGGCCCCCAAAGCCCAGACAAGCACACACGGACCCUCAGCCCUCCCUGGCUGUCUUGCAAGCCUCCUGCUCUUCACAGAUGCCCUUUCCCCUUUGAUCUGCUACUUCUGAGGCCAGGAGAGGAGGCUUCUGCUGCUCUGCGCAUUUCGUCUCCCAGGGGCUGGUUCUGCUGGCGGGGGGGCAGAGGAGAGCAGGAGGUGAAGCCAGGUCCUCGGCCAGGUCCUCGAGCUGCAUCCCAAAGUCAGCAGUGUGUAGAUGAGCAGACUGCCUGCAGGGCUCAUUCCCACACCACUGCCCUCGCUGCUCUGGCAGGGCCUCUGCCCCACCCUGUGCCCAACUUCCUGCCCCAAACAGUGGGGCCCUGGGAAGCCAGCACCAGCAGGCCAGUGGCCUGCCCUGACCCAGCCCCACCACUGUCCUGGCCUCAUCCUGGCCUCUUGAUUCCUUGCUCUCCUCGACCCAGCACCAGGUCCAGGUGGUUGUGCAGUGUUGCACAGGGGAGUGAGGGUUGUAGAAGUUUCUCCCUUGCUCUCUGAACUCUUCCUUUUCAGGGCAGAAGCUUGGGCUCUGACCUCAGGACAGAGUCCCCCCCGUGUGGUUGAGGAGGCCACAAAGGAAGGAACAGACCUGGCCGCUGAGUCACAGCAGCAGGCUCGUACCUGGUGCUGUCCCGGCCCAGGGCUCGGGCUCUAAACGGCCCCGUCCCAGAAUGUGUGGACAGCUGACACCUGCAGAUAGGGCUCCCUGCCGGGCCCAUGGUCGUGGCCUUCCUGGUUGGCCCACGGCAGGUCCUGGAACGUGGGCGUCAGACCUCGCUGCUACUCACAGGCUGAGGUGAAUAAAGACCCCCAGGAGGCAGGGAAGCAUAAGCCUCCUUGGCUCAUGGGCACAGGGCAGGGGCUCUCAGAUUAGGACCCCUCUCCUGGGCCUCCGGACAGGACCUGGCAGCAUUUGGAGGUGCGGGAGUGGUCGUGGGCACUGUCCUCUCCUCUGCUCUCUGGUCCAGCACCCAUCUGUGUCAUCCUCUAGGUCUCCCAAUGAACUCACAGAUUUCUGAGGCACUGACACAACCUUGUCACUGGAUGGGGCCAGGGAGGUCCCCAAAGAGGAGAUGGCAGGGAGGCUGCAGCUGGAAGCCUCCCAUCAUAGGACAGGUCAGGUCUGUCGGGAUUGGGCAGAGGGCUCAGAAGGCUGGAUUCUGAAAGAGCAGGCUCGGGAAUGCCCUGGGCCCCAGAGGGAGAAGGCGUAUGUGGCCGGGUCGGGGUUCCUGUGGAUGUGGGAUCCCCAAGAGGGUGACCAGGAUGUGUAUACUGAUAUCUGGGGUCCCCUGCCAGGUGAGCUGGUUGAGUACAGCAUUUAUCCAACUGGUGGAUGAAAGUUGCUGUCCCUGCUGCAGUGGCUUCCUGAACACAGGGUGAUAGGAUUGAGUGCAGCACGUAGGGGCACUCAGCCUGGAGCCCAGGUUACAGGGCCUUGGUCUUCAGGCCUCAGGGAUUUUCCCUAGAAGAAAAGACAGCUUGAAUA